rnacentral:tRNA from 1 species
UAGAUGGAAGCUCGUGUGGUUAGAGCGCUUAGCUGUUAACUAAGAGUUUGUAGGAUCAAGGCCUGCCCAUCUAG